AUGAUAAGAAACAGCAUGUAUCUACAGGAAAUUGCCUGGAGUUAAAAGUCUCUUUUCUCCCAAUUCACCUUCUGGAGUCAGAUGGUCAAGUGUUCGUUCCCACUUUUACCCUUUCAAGCUCAAACAAGAGCAUAGGUCUCCAGACUGCCACAGGAAAGCAAAGACUUCCCUUCUAUAUACAUCACUUUGAGGGCAAAAACAGGAUAAUUGAGGCCCCACCGGCACCACUUCCAAGCAGCGUGUAUCCCUGACUUCUGCUCAGUGGUUCAACACCGAACCUCACACCAAGAACUGCCAGAAGCUCUCCUAUUCCCUGUGAAGAAGCUGCUGCAACCACCAGGGCCAGCUUCCACCCACAGGGUGCUGAUGGCUCCCCUGACUGGUGCAGAUGUGAGGUGGUGGCAGAGGCCCUGCUUUGGUGCAGGCCUCUGGAAGGUAAUGCCUGUGGGCAGGGGCCUGGCAGGGAGCCAAAGCCCUGAGGAAUAGGGCCCUGCUUGUGACCACUGCCCAGCCUUGAGAAAACGAGAAGGAGAAUUCCAAGAGCUGCUGAGGGGAGGCUGUCCUACAGGUUUAGUGGCAUGGCUGUGACUGAAGGCUGCUGGGUGAGGAGGAGACUGAAACCCCUGGUGCGGAGAGAAGGGCUGAAGUCCAGGUACAAAAGGACACUAACGUACCUUCACAGUCAAGGUCUAGCAAGACAAGCAUAACUCAUUUACUGUGGUACGACAACAAAUAUUAAAGAGGGAAGUUUUGCAUAUUG